rnacentral:rRNA from 1 species
AGGACGAACGCUGGCGGCACGCCUAACACAUGCAAGUCGAACGGAGAAAUGAUUCGGUUAUUUCUUAGUGGCGGACGGGUGAGUAACACGUGAGGAACCUGCCUUUGAGAGUGGGAUAGCUUCUGGAAACGGAUGGUAAUACCGCAUAACAUAGCGAAACCGCAUGAUUUUGCUAUCAAAGUAUUUCGCUCAGAGAUGGCCUCGCGUCUGAUUAGAUAGUUGGUGAGGUAACGGCUCACCAAGUCGACGAUCAGUAGCCGGACUGAGAGGUUGAACGGCUACAUUGGGACUGAGACACGGCCCAGACUCCUACGGGAGGCAGCAGUGGGGGAUAUUGCACAAUGGGGGAAACCCUGAUGCAGCGAUGCCGCGUGGAGGAAGAAGGUUUUCGGAUUGUAAACUCCUGUCGUAAGGGAAGAGGAAGGACUGUACCUUACAAGAAAGCUCCGGCUAACUACGUG